GACGAACGCUGGCGGCGUGCUUAACACAUGCAAGUCGAACGAUGAACCAGGGCUUGCCCUGGGGAUUAGUGGCGAACGGGUGAGUAACACGUGGGCAACCUGCCCCAGACACCGGGAUAACCUCUCGAAAGAGUGGCUAAUACCGGAUACGACCACUUUGGGCAUCCAACGGUGGUGGAAAGGAUUCUGGUCUGGGAUGGGCCCGCGGCCUAUCAGCUUGUUGGUGGGGUAAUGGCCUACCAAGGCGACGACGGGUAGCCGGCCUGAGAGGGCGACCGGCCACACUGGGACUGAGACACGGCCCAGACUCCUACGGGAGGCAGCAGUGGGGAAUAUUGGACAAUGGGCGCAAGCCUGAUCCAGCAAUGCCGCGUGGGUGAAGACGGCCUGCGGGUUGUAAAGCCCUUUAGGCGGGGAGGAACGGUCGGGUGCCAAUACCACCCGGCACUGACGUUACCCGCAGAAUAAGCACCGGCUAACUCCGUGCCAG
rnacentral:rRNA from 1 species